GUCUUGGCCCCAUGUCUGGCUUCCAUACCCCUGCCUUGCCAGAGAGUCACAACAAUAGUAGGACUACCCAUUGAUGAUAAUGUAGGAGGAUACACUUGGAUAUCUUCUAUAUCCUCCCAAAGGAAGAAAAAUUUAGUCUUCUGCCCAAACAAAUUUGCAUGGAACCCAAUUAUUCUUGCUGACAAAAAUAAACGACCCUGCAAGAGCAUUUUUCGCUUUAGGUGACAGGUGAAAUCAUUGAUGAGAAAUUCCUCAGGUGGAAGCCCAAAGAGCUUUUGAAAGGCUGAAUUUGUUUGUGGAGAACGCAAAUUUAUCUUCUUCCCCACCUCUUUCUCCAUCUUAUUCAAGUACUCUU
rnacentral:misc_RNA from 1 species